UACAGGGGGUGCAAACGUUGCUCGGAAUUAUUGGGCGUAAAGCGCGCGUAGGCGGCCGCUUAAGUCGGAUGUGAAAGCCCCUGGCUCAACUGGGGAAGUGCACCCGAAACUGAGUGGCUUGAGUACUAAAGAGGGUCGCGGAAUUCCCGGUGUAGAGGUGAAAUUCGUAGAUAUCGGGAGGAACACCGGUGGCGAAGGCGGCGACCUGGUCGACACUGACGCUGAGGCGCGAAAGCGUGGGAGCAACAGGAUUA
rnacentral:rRNA from 1 species